UCCCUUUCUCCCCUCUUAUCCCAUCAUGCCCAAUUCCCUCCCACCAAAAACCCUAGGUUCAGCCAAUCAAUAAACCCCCAAAAAUUGAAAAAAAAGCCCAUCUUUUUUUUCUUUUAAAUUUUUUUUUUUUUUUAACAAAACAGCCCAUUUCCCUCAAUCCAAUUCACCAUACAGAAAGAAAUGGAUGACACCGAAGACGACGCCAGGUACCCUCCAAACCCUUCUUCUUCUUCCUAUUACACUUCAAACUACCACCACCAUCGACGCCCUAAACUCCCCGUCCGCAAUCCCUCUUCCGUUCCUCCCAUCCCCAAAAACUACUACAACGAACAAAACAACUACAACAAAGGCGACAACGACGACGAAGAGGAAGAAGAAGAAGAAGAAGACGACUACAACGAAGGAGGAAACUACAACGACGACAACGGCGAAGAAGAUGAGGAAGAAGAAGAAGAUGAUGUUCCUAUCCAUCGAGCCGUUCAGGAGGCAGAGGAUGAUGAAGAAGAAGAGAAUGAAGAAGAUGAUGGAGAUGACGAUGACGACGAUGAUGACGAUGAUGACGACGACAUCAACGCCCGUUAUAGGCGGGCUGGAGCCAAUGAUGAUUCUGGGCCACCUCGAAAGCGACCCCACAGGAUGGACAAAUCAGCAUUAGCAUUUGAAUUCGCACCGCGCAUGAAGCCGCUCCCUGCACUGCCCGCUCCCACCGUGGUGGCGAAACCGUCCUUCGGUGGGCCACGCGGGUCGCCCAUUGCUGACUGGACGGAGCACUCCACGUUCACCCUCCUUGAUGCCUGGGGCAACCGAUUCCUCCAGCUGGGCCGCAAGAGCCUGCGGUCGGACGACUGGGUUGAUGUUGCGAAGCAGGUCUCACAGGUGUCACGGGCUGUCCGCACAGACACACAAUGCCGGAACCGCCUCGACACACUGAAGAAGAAGUACAAGAGAGAGAAGAUGAAGGUUUUGGAGUCCGGGAAUCCUGCCAGCAAGUGGGUCUACUUCAAGAAGAUGGAGGAACUGAUGUCGGGCUCGCUGCCGCCACGCCAGCAGCCUGGACUGUCAUGUGGGGUUGAUUCAGGGGAGUAUGUGUUUAUGAAUCCGAGAGUGUAUCUCAACCGUGCAAAUGGGUUGGACGAGAUGCCGGACAGUCCCGGGAAUUCGGAGGAAGGUGGGGAUGAUGAGGAUGAUUCAGAUGGGCUACCGCCCAAGCGCACCAGAUUGGAGCAUGGGGACGAGGGCGGUGGGCCAUCAUCGUCAUCGUCAUUUAGGAUGCUUGCAGAUUCAAUCCAGAAGUUCGGAGAGAUUUAUGAGAAGAUUGAGAAUAAUAAGAGGCAGCAGAUGGAGGAAUUGGAGAGGAUGAGGAUGGAGUUCCAUCGGGAUCUCGAGCUGCAGAAGAGGCAGAUUUUGGAGCGGGCCCAGGCAGAGAUCGCAAAGAUUCGGGAGGGAGAUGAUGAUGAGGAGAUUGACGUUUCUGUUGAGAAUAUCAGUGGGUGAUGUGUUGGUUCAGCUUCCCAUCAAAGGGUGGAAGUAAUUUGGGGGUGAAUCUUUCUUGGGAACUCGGAGCAUCCUGAGGAUUGGCACGGGUGGUGGAUGAUAUCUUCUAUGGCCGUGACACACGGAUGGUUUGAUAUCGGGCAGGUAGCAAGGGCACCAUAUGAUUCGGCAGCGUCAUUUUUUUCUUCUAUGUAAUCGGUCGUUGAAGCCUUCUUAUGUUACAAGCCGAUCGAAAGUAUUUAAACCCAUAUGUAUUUGCAUUUGCACAAUGUAUCUCUAGCCAUACCUUGUGGGGCCAUUAGGUGUAUAACCUGUGGGAUGAAGACGACCUGUUACUAGUUCAGUUGUCUUUCUUCCAGAGAAAGAAAGAAAAAGGAAAAGUUUUUGGCGCCGAUGACUAUGACCUUAUUUAUCAAUAAAUGUAUUGUAUUUUAGAUAGAA